rnacentral:lncRNA from 1 species
CCGCCGCUCCCUAACCCUAGCCCCAAUCCACAGCCCCGCGCCCCUCGCUCCUCCCUCCCUCGUCCUCACCCGCCACCGCUCCCUCCAACCACCUCCUCCUCCUUCCGAUGGGUCGCCGGAUCCGUCGGCCACCCCAUGGACUUCGCCUCGAACGUGGGCUGGGAGAGAGAGCGCGGGCGGGCGGUAGAGGAGGGUGGCGGGCGCCGACGUCGCAGUCAAGGGGGAGCAGGGCUGCCGGAGCUCGCACGGAUGCGCAGUCGGAGGGACGACUUGAGGAGAGUAGGAGGUAGGUACGCUGGGACAGGGUGAUGUAGCCGGCGACGGCAGGGCCAGUCGGCCGGAGCUGGAUUGAUCCGGAGGCGCUCAGCAAGAGAGGCGGACAGCGGACCGAUGGAGAAGGGAUCGGCAUCGGGCAGCUCGAAGACCCAAAACGGCUGCCUCAUCAUCUACCUCACCGUCUCUCCUCCAGUACGCGGGUGCUCUGCUCGACCUCUUCCUCGUCAUGGCUGCUCAACAAAAUAAGCAGGAGCAGCCGGUGCAGCCGAGCGUCCGCCUUAGGCUUCAGGUACACAACAAUUCUUCUCUUCUUCCUUUUUUUUACUCCCUUUCUUUCAGUACCCUGCUCCCCUUCCAAUAUUUGUUUGUGCGGCUGUCAGCAGGACAUGGCGUUCAACGGUGGAUGCAGGUGGCCUAUGCCAAGGUGAGCUUCUCCCAUCGUUUUUCCUUCUGCUCUUGAUUUGAUCUCUACCUUAUGUGUCCUCCUACCCACCAAUCCGCCUUCAACAUCAAUCUUAGGAUAUACUUCUUAUGCUUGCCUGUGAGCUGUUUGAUAAAAUGCGCGUGUAGUGACCAAAAUGCGAGGUUGUGUUUCCUGUUGUUGAUUGAUCGUUGCUUUGGUCGAGGUGGGUUAUGCUUGCUUCUGCUCUUCAUUGUAUUUUUGUUCAUGGCCUAUGUUGGAGAGGUUAUGCAUGUUCCCUCAAAGAAGCCUUAUGUCCAAGAAUAAAUUACUUACGUUUGAGUGCGAGUAAUGACAUAAUUUGUAAUUUUUCAUUUCCCUUUUGCGUGUUCAUUAGAGAUUCCUAUUCUGUUCCUUGGCUUACUAACCUUGGUAAGUUUAGAAAUCGUAUCUUAUACAGAUAUACAUCUCUUCUGCAUGUCUCAAAUGCUAGCUUGGUAUGUUUUCAAACCCCCAUGAACUAUAUCUAUUAUAUUUCUACAAUUUUAAUGGCUUAGUUUCACGUGUUAGAUCAUUGUUUCCCAGUUUAUACCAAGCUGAUUACAGUAGACCAUCUAUUUGGUAUGGUACCUACAGGUUUUCCUACUUAAUUAUAUUCGAUGUAUAAGAGGAAUUAUUUAAUAAGAUCACAGACAUCACGUUUGAUAAUUAGGCGCAGCUUACCAAUUGACCGCUUGCUAAAUCCAUCAAUGGCAGUUCUUUACCAUUAGUUAAGAAGUGAAUAUAUAUUUGUUAAGUGUUGUUCGUGUUCAUCUGCACCACACUGCAG